rnacentral:rRNA from 1 species
UACGUAGGGUGCAAGCGUUAAUCGGAAUUACUGGGCGUAAAGCGUGCGCAGGCGGUUCUAUCAGACAGAUGUGAAAUCCCCGGGCUCAACCUGGGAACUGCAUUUGUGACUGUAGAGCUGGAGUGCGGCAGAGGGGGAUGGAAUUCCGCGUGUAGCAGUGAAAUGCGUAGAUAUGCGGAGGAACACCGAUGGCGAAGGCAAUCCCCUGGGCCUGCACUGACGCUCAUGCACGAAAGCGUGGGGAGCAAACAGG